GCCCGAGUGGUGAAAUUGGCAAACACGCUGACUUCAGGUGUCAGUGUCGCAAGAUUUGGGAGUUCGAAUCUCCCCUCGGGCA
rnacentral:tRNA from 1 species